rnacentral:lncRNA from 13 species
UAAUGAAGAGGGGGCGGAAAUAGAAAAUGACGCCGAGGAAAGAGAAGUCAGAGUUGCUUCGCCAGAGUAUGAUGAUGAUAUACAUUAUGCCAAUACCUUACCAUGGAGGGCAUAAUUAAUAUCACUGGGCGGGGAAAUAUCGCGGGGUAACUUGUUCAAACUGGCGCUGGACUUGCUGAAGCUGUAAUUGGAAGAAACGCUAGUGGGGAAGAAUUUCUCCACAAUACUGCGGAGAAUGUAGCCGACCAAAGACCUCAACAGCAGCAACAUCGGUCGCAGCAACCACAGUCGCAACAUUCUCAGCAACAGGAGCAAGACCCACAA